UAGUCCCAGAAGAUAACAGGGCGUACCUUUAGCAAGGAGAUAAGAAGCAAUUUCUUUAGUCAGAGGCUUAUGAAUCUGUGGAAUUCAUUACCACAGAUGGCUGGAGCGGCCAAGGAACUG